CCGCUUCCCUGUCGCCGCCACCGCUGCUCGCACCGCUGCUCCCAGGACGAACUGACCUAGGCGGCAUCUAGGCCAUACCAACCAACGUCGGCCAUCCUCCCCAACCAUGAUGAGGGUAAAUAGGAGGCGACGAGGCUAUCCCAGCGUCUAUCAACAUCGCUGAUCCUGAAUCUCCUACGACAUCGAUGGUGACCUACCAAUUUAUUCCUUUUCCUUGAUUUUUUGAAGCCAAUUUCGGAAUUUGGCAUGGAAAUAAUACGGAUUUGUGUGCUCCCUUUUUGUUUUGUUGUUUCAUCCUGAUCCCGAACAUAAUCUAGACAUCAAGUUCAAUGAUAUUCUACAAGUUACAAUUUUGUCAAUUUUUAGUUGCAAUUUAGUAAAAAUUAAUUACAGAUUUCUGUGAUGUGAUAUAGCAUGUUAAAUCUGGAUCACUGGGCACACCUCAAUAUGAUGCUUCUUCUGAAGCCCAAGAGCGAGUGUCAAUCUGUCACCAACCAAUUUUGGCCGUCCUUUUCUUUCUUCUGGAUUGCAAUUUCAGUUGUUGUUUAGUUAGCACAACACAAUUAAUGUGCAUCCAAGUUGUGAUGCUUGCCAAAAAGAAAAUGGUAUUGCCGCUCCGCUGAUAGUUCAUAAUGGCGCUGUUUGGUGUUUGCGUGGCCUGAAAUGGUUGAUCUUUCAUAUCAGGUCAAACGAGAACACCACGAAUGCUUUGCAACAGAUUCUGCCAGAGAAUGGAGGAUGAUGUGCACUCCACCACAUCGAGUACUAAUACUCCCUGAGAAGUGGCUCAACACUAGAAUGCUACUGCCACUGGUUUUAGUUUCAGGUUGCAGGAGCGUGCUGAGAAGAGGAAGAAGUUCUACCAAAAAUCUGAAGAGAAGAUCCAUGCAAAGGAGCUUGAACAAACGCAGGCAAAAUCUAAAGGGGAGGAAAACAACCCAGCGACGUGGAAGUCCGUGUCUGAGGAGUGCGCCGGCUACAUGCGGGAGUUCCUCACCGACCUGGCCUACUGUUCCAACGUUGAGGUCGUUGCACGGGAGGCGACCGCCUAGCACGGGCUACGAGUGACGGCGCAGCAUGCGGAUGUUCGAUGUCAAUGAGAUGCUGCUCUCCAACCUCCCCUACUACGCCGACCACAGAUACAGAUCUAAGGUUCUACAGCUUAACACAUCCAAUGGGCUGCAUAUAUUCGAAAUAUAUAAAUUACUCUAUUUCUGAGUUGCAGAGAAAGAAAAGGAGAAUUCUCAUGAGUCAUGUCUCAACAAUUAUCAGAUCAUGGAAUAAAAGAAUAGGAGGGGCGCCGAUUCCCUCCACCCGCUCUGCCCUCCCCACUCUGCAGAGAAGGGCACGGGCGACGAUGGCAUGCUCUGCGCAGAGUGCUCAGGGGAGAGGGCGCGAGCGACGACGGCAUGCUCUGCGCAGAGUGCUCAGGGAAGGACGUCGCAUCGGCAAUGGUGCAGAGGUAGGAUGUGUUGAUCGCAGCGCAGUUGGGGAUUUUUGACGUGUCUUCAGGCUGUUCUCGAUGAGCUGUUAAUUAAAUGAAAUGUCAAGUGAUUUUCUUGAACUUGAUCAGACAAAGAAACUAUAUUAGGGAAAUAUUCAUGACCUGUUAGUCUGAAGCGGAAGUAGAAUCAGAUUUAGCAAAUGCAGAUGUAGAAUCAGAUUUUAGCAAAUGCAGAUGUAGAACUAUCCAAGCAGAUUGAUCGGGCACAAUCUUACUGUGCCAUUGCCAGUCAUCUAUUCAAGCACAGAGCAAAUUUAACUCAAGAUUGUGAGAUGAUGCAUGUACAACUGAAUAAAGAUACAACCUUUUCUCUGCUCUA